rnacentral:misc_RNA from 1 species
UAUUUUACCAUAUAUAGGAAAACUACAUUUAUUUUUUUCAUCCUAGUUUAGUUUUGUGUAAUUUGUAUAUGAAAAAAUCAUACACAUCAAGUUUCAACAAAAGCUAAUUAAGUAAUUAGCAUCAUCGCACCCAAAUCUCAUCCAAUCAAGAGUACUGUGAACAAGAGCUGUAGAGCAAGCAGCCUGGAAUGCUGCUGAAUAACUUGUAGGCUUGUGACUUUCAUCAAUGGGAGGAUCGUCAGGGAAAUGAGCAACACUUGGGCAACAAAAUUCAGGCUUGUUAAAUGCAACGCAAGGACUUUUACGUACUACAAUUUGUCCAUUUGAACCAUUUGAUCUCACUUGCAGCUCACUUGGGCAAAUCUGGUUCAAGUCUGUGAAGCAACUUGAAGCAUUACAUUGACCAGCGCCAGCUGGGUGCCCAUAAGUCAAUAUAGACAUUGGCAAGUUGAAGCCAUUGGCAACACUAACUGCAUAAAAAUCAGGGAGGACAUUAUAAAAGUUUAGCACAGCAUAUGUGACUGGAAGUUCAGGGAUCAUGUUCUGGGUUGCUUCGGCACAUCUUAGGACGUCACCACAGUCACCGGUAACACAUGUUCCGUGGCCGGAGUGAUCAAAUAAGCACCCAUGACGCCCCCAAAUAGUGGCAUAAUAUUCUGCUGUGACAUUCACUGAUUCACCGGGUCUUCACUCGAAACCACCCUCCAUGUUUUCGGCUUGGAUCCGAUGCAAAUCCUACUAGGAAUCCAGGCCAUAUGGUGGUGUUGCAUUUAUUAUGCAGGGUAAUAACCUUAGCAGCAGCACCUCUUUAAGAACUUUCAAUUCCAUCAUUUCAGCUGAUGAGAAGUUCUUUAGGAUUUGGAGAUUUAGUCAAUUGAGCCAGAUGUAAACACAUCAAGGUGCAGCUUAGACUGUGAAAAGUAUAACAUAAACACACUGAAGGAAAUCAAUAAGGAUUAAAUGGAGUAAGAAAUGAUAAACUAAAAUCACUAGAGAUGAUAAUAAAUACAGUCCAAACAAACCGGUGUUGUGGCCGAACCACAACCUAGCAUCAAAACAGGGACCGGGAAGAAGAAGAGCAGAAGAGGAAAAAGAAGAAUAGAAGAGGGUUCAUCUUUUGCCCGAUCAACUUAUGGUAGCUAUUAAAUAUUGUUGGCAGACUGAUGCUGCUCUUGUCCAAAUCAUUGCAGACUUGCGACUUGCAGAGAGAUCCUAAUUCUCAUUCUUCUUAUACUUGGCAUAAUAGUCAGUUGAGAAGGAAGGGUGGAUUUGUCACCAGCAACUCUAUGGAAUUGAGGACUAAGUUAAUUGAAGUAUAUAAUGAUUCCUCAG